ACGAACGCUGGCGGCAGGCCUCACACAUGCAAGUCGCGCGCGGACUUCGGUUCUAGCGGCGGACGGGUGAGUAACGCGUGGGAAUGUGCCCUUCUCUACGGAAUAGCCCUGGGAAACUGGGAGUAAUACCGUAUACGCCCUAUUGGGGAAAGAUUUAUCGGAGAAGGAUCAGCCCGCGUUGGAUUAGGUAGUUGGUGGGGUAAUGGCCUACCAAGCCGACGAUCCAUAGCUGGUUUGAGAGGAUGAUCAGCCACACUGGGACUGAGACACGGCCCAGACUCCUACGGGAGGCAGCAGUGGGGAAUCUUAGACAAUGGGGGCAACCCUGAUCUAGCCAUGCCGCGUGAGUGAUGAAGGCCUUAGGGUUGUAAAGCUCUUUCAGCUGGGAAGAUAAUGACGGUACCAGCAGAAGAAGCCCCGGCUAACUCCGUG
rnacentral:rRNA from 1 species